rnacentral:rRNA from 1 species
UACGGAGGAUCCAAGCGUUAUCCGGAAUCAUUGGGUUUAAAGGGUCCGUAGGCGGUUUGGUAAGUCAGUGGUGAAAGCCCAUCGCUCAACGGUGGAACGGCCAUUGAUACUGCUAGACUUGAAUUAUUAGGAAGUAACUAGAAUAUGUAGUGUAGCGGUGAAAUGCUUAGAGAUUACAUGGAAUACCAAUUGCGAAGGCAGGUUACUACUAAUGGAUUGACGCUGAUGGACGAAAGCGUGGGUAGCGAACAGG